GACCUUCCUGUAACUCAGGGCCAGGUCUCUGCUCCUCUGUUCUGCUACUCCUGGCACUAGGAGAUGCGCCCCCUGCACCCUGUAAACAGGGCUGCACCCCCACCCCCUCUGACCUUGGGGCAGGAGGCCUCCUUUAGCCCUUUGGGCUCUGUGGCUUCCAUGGUGGGAGGCUGAUCUGAUGUCGUGGCCCGUAUGUCCCCAGACAUGGGGCAGCUUUGACCCCUGAUCAAGACCACCUGAGGCACCUGUCAGCUGGCAUUCAGGUCUCUGCAGGUUUUCUCUGGGCUUCAUGCCCUAGCUGCCGCCAGCUGUGUGGAGGGAGCACCACCUUGUAAGCAGGGUUUCUGGUGUUGGCGGUCACCGUUCACGGUGCCGCCCUAGCAGUUCUGUCCAGAGUCCCGGCUCGUUGCGCUCGGCUUCUGGCUGCCCGGGAUGUCAGCAGCCCAGGCUGGAGACAUCUGCCACGGUUCCAGGUCGUGCAGAAGACAGCAGAUGAGCAACCCGAGGAAGGAAGAAACCCUCGCCUGACCAGCAGGAGGGAAAGGCAAGGGAGUUUGGACACGGUGUCUGUCCUCUGCAAGUUACUUCCCCAGGUUGUCGACCUUGUGAUUAGCGCUUGUGGAAGGUGGGAGCACCGGGGCAGCCGCACACACAGGAUUUGUGUCUUAGGUCCUGCUGUUGUCAUACGCGGGUAACUGCUCGGGCGGUAGUCACCCUCAGUUAGUAUACUGGAGGCAUGUCGCAUCCCCCUUGUUCUUCAAGGACACCAAGGUCGAGCAUAUCAUGGGCAAUGGAGCUACAGUCUUGUAGCGGGGUGUGCAGUUCGUUGCCAGCCAUCUCCAGGUCUGUUUUGUGUACUCUUGCAGGUCCCUGAAGGGCAGCUGGAGAGGAAGGAACGGAAGCUGGAGAAGACAGCCCGGGAACAAGAAGUGUGGGUCGGGGUGGGCAGGAGGAAGGGGAAUGUUUAAUGUCUGCUCAGAGAAGGACAGAUGGAAGCUGUUGAGUGCAUCUACACUUUCGCACACCCUUUAGGAGCAAGCAGCCGCAGGCUUCAUGUUGCACCGUGCACUCAGUCUUGGGUUGGCCCCAAUUGUGUGCAGGGCGGUUGAGUUUUUGUACUAGUUGCGUGUCUUGAUAUGGAGCAGUCAAGGGUUUUGCAGGUUGUUUGGCUUUGCCUAGUUAUGCAGUGGAUCGGAAUAGAUGUGCGAUCAAAGGGUGAAGGGUUUUCUCGGUUGGGUUGUUGAGCGGUUCUCUGUGUUAGCGUAGAAGUGCAGGUUUGUGCUCGGUUCUGUUUGUGGCUUGGCUGUAGCUUGCUUAGGCUGUAGGUUGCGGGGCCAACUGGGGCUGUUUGUGGUGAACUUUGUUUGCGUCUGUCAAUUAAGACUCCACGGGUGUUUGAAAGUGUUUAAUCUCCAGCUCCACGGCCAGCGAGGAUGAAGAAGUUGUCUUGUGUCCAAAGGAUCCUAAAGGUAGUUGGCGCGGUCAACGUCAAACCGCAAGAAGCCAGCUGAGCUAAGAUGUGCACAAUUGAACAACAAACGGCCUAUGAAAUCUCACCUCGUAUCUCGUGCUUUUCUAUGCUGUGAAGAUUUGGCCAUGGGCCUUUCGUGUUGAGAGCUGGCUGAUGAUGAACAUUUUCAGUGUGUCUGCUGAUCCGACCUGUGUUCUUACUUGGGCAAUGCAAAUAUUUCCCCUUCUGUUUGACCAGUGGUGAAAGAAUGUGUAACACAUGGUUCCUAAUCUUCAGUUGACAAUUGUUAAUGCACUUUUUUUUUUUUUUUGAAGAAAUAAAAUAUCAGGUCCGUUGAAGUUGU